rnacentral:rRNA from 1 species
CCUACGGGGGGCAGCAGUGGGGAAUCUUGCGCAAUGGGCGAAAGCCUGACGCAGCAACGCCGCGUGUGUGAUGAAGGUCUUCGGAUCGUAAAGCACUGUCGGGAGAGACGAAUAAGGGCCGGGUGAACAAUCCGGUCCGAUGACGGUACCUCCAAAGGAAGCACCGGCUAACUCUGUGCCAGCAGCCGCGGUAAUACAGAGGGUGCAAGCGUUGUUCGGAAUUAUUGGGCGUAAAGCGCGUGUAGGCGGUCUCGCAAGUCGGAUGUGAAAGCCCUCGGCUUAACCGAGGAAGUGCGUUCGAAACUACGAGACUUGAGUGCCGGAGAGGGUGGCGGAAUUCCCGGUGUAGAGGUGAAAUUCGUAGAUAUCGGGAGGAACACCAGUGGCGAAGGCGGCCACCUGGACGGUAACUGACGCUGAGACGCGAAAGCGUGGGGAGCAAACAGGAUUAGAUACCCCAGUAGUC